rnacentral:rRNA from 1 species
GAUGAACGCUGGCGGCGUGCCUAAUACAUGCAAGUCGAGCGAACAGACGAGGAGCUUGCUCCUCUGACGUUAGCGGCGGACGGGUGAGUAACACGUGGAUAACCUACCUAUAAGACUGGGAUAACUUCGGGAAACCGGAGCUAAUACCGGAUAAUAUAUUGAACCGCAUGGUUCAAUAGUGAAAGACGGUUUUGCUGUCACUUAUAGAUGGAUCCGCGCCGCAUUAGCUAGUUGGUAAGGUAACGGCUUACCAAGGCAACGAUGCGUAGCCGACCUGAGGGGGUGAGCGGCCACACUGGAACUGAGACACGGCCCAGAGUGCUACGGGAGGCAGCAGUAGGGAAUCGUCCGCAAUGGGCGAAAGCUUGACGGAGCAACGCCGCGUGAGUGAUGAAGGUCUUCGGAUCGUAAAACUCUGUUAUUAGGGAAGAACAAAUGUGUAAGUAACUAUGCACGUCUUGACGGUACCUAAUCAGAAAGCCACGGCUAACUACGUG